UACGGGGGGGGCAAGCGUUGUCCGGAAUCAUUGGGCGUAAAGCGCGCGUAGGCGGCCCGGUAAGUCCGUUGUAAAAGUCGAAGGCUCAACCUCCAGCGGUCGUUGGAAACUACUUGGCUAGAGUCCGGAAGAGGAGAGUGGAAUUCCUGGUGUAGCGGUGAAAUGCGCAGAUAUCAGGAAGAACACCGAUGGCGAAAGCAGCUCUCUGGGACGGUACUGACGCUGAGGCGCGAAAGCGUGGGGAGCGAACAGG
rnacentral:rRNA from 1 species